AUGUUGUUGAAUCAUGAACGAAGAUUGAGACGGGCGAUCUGUGGUGAACAAGAUCGGAGCAGAUCGACACAGAAGAGAAGGAGGAGACAUGAGGCGGAGGCAAGAGGUGAGGAUCACCGUCUGCGAAGUUUGGAAAGGAAGAAGUCGCGUUUCAAGAGAAGACGGAGAGUCAGCAACUUAAACCUUAGAUUAUAA